rnacentral:rRNA from 1 species
GAUCCUGGCUCAGAGCGAACGCUGGGGCAGGCUUAACACAUGCAAGUCGAACGGGCACUUCGGUGCUAGUGGCAGACGGGUGAGUAACACGUGGGAACGUACCUUUCGGUUCGGAAUAAUCCAGGGAAACUUGGACUAAUACCGGAUACGCCCUUCGGGGGAAAGAUUUAUCGCCGAUAGAUCGGCCNGCGUCUGAUUAGCUAGUUGGUGAGGUAAUGGCUCACCAAGGCGACGAUCAGUAGCUGGUCUGAGAGGAUGAUCAGCCACAUUGGGACUGAGACACGGCCCAAACUCCUACGGGAGGCAGCAGUGGGGAAUAUUGGACAAUGGGCGCAAGCCUGAUCCAGCCAUGCCGCGUGAGUGAUGAAGGCCUUAGGGUUGUAAAGCUCUUUUGUCCGGGAAGAUAAUGACUGUACCGGAAGAAUAAGCCCCGGCUAACUUCGUGCCAGCAGCCGCGGUAAUACGAAGGGGGCUAGCGUUGCUCGGAAUCACUGGGCGUAAAGGGCGCGUAGGCGGACUCUUAAGUCGGGGGUGAAAGCCCAGGGCUCAACCCUGGAAUUGCCUUCGAUACUGAGAGUCUUGAGUUCGGAAGAGGUUGGUGGAACUGCGAGUGUA